GUGGGGAAUAUUGGACAAUGGGCGAAAGCCUGAUCCAGCCAUGCCGCGUGUGUGAAGAAGGUCUUCGGAUUGUAAAGCACUUUAAGUUGGGAGGAAGGGCAGUAAGUUAAUACCUUGCUGUUUUGACGUUACCGACAGAAUAAGCACCGGCUAACUUCGUGCCAGCAGCCGCGGUAAUACGAAGGGUGCAAGCGUUAAUCGGAAUUACUGGGCGUAAAGCGCGCGUAGGUGGUUUUGUAAGUUGGAGGUGAAAUCCCCGGGCUCAACCUGGGAACUGCCUCCAAAACUGCAUGACUAGAGUACGGUAGAGAGUAGUGGAAUUUCCUGUGUAGCGGUGAAAUGCGUAGAUAUAGGAAGGAACACCAGUGGCGAAGGCGACUACCUGGACUGAUACUGACACUGAGGUGCGAAAGCGUGGGGAGCAAACAGGAUUAGAAACCCUUGUAGUCC
rnacentral:rRNA from 1 species